GUGAGUGCACUAAUAUUAGUGCUAUAAUUAUUUUAUGUGGUCACAUGAAUAAUUAUGUAUUGGUAUUUUAUUAAUUAGUACAUUUCCAUAGUUUUUGUGAUUUAUUUUUGAUCACCCUUCUCACACUAUUACUUUAAUUUCCCUACCAUGUGACUAAAUACCACAAUUUGCCAAGUGUAGAGAUUAUUGAGAGAGUGUAGAGAUUAGAGAGAGAGAGAUCAAGGCAUUAAUUGCCAAUAUUUCCUUAAGAUUACAAAAUCCUCUUUAAAGAUCACAAGAUCAUUUACAAUCUUGCAAAAUCCUCUCUCACUACUCACUCAUCAUUUUCGACCAACACCUCUCUCCCUCUUUCUCUCACUUUCCUCCAUUUUCCUCCACUGAAGAGACCUUCGAAGCUUCCAAAAAAAAAAAAAAAAAAAAAAAAAAAAAAUUUUACAAAACACCUCAAUCCACUCUAAAAUCUUCCAUAAACACAUCCUAGCUACUUAUAUUCAAGAGAAUCAUUGAAGAAAGGCUUCCAAGCUAGAGUGAGAAAAUGUGAGUUUUGGUGAGAAAUUUGGGUAAGUGGUCAUGUAUUCCAUAAAUCUUGCUUGAAUGAUGUUGUAUGAAGAAAGAAAAUCACCUCUCCCUUGUUCUUAAAAUUUUCAAAAAAAUGGGUCUUUACCCUUCAAAAAUUUUCUUUUUCUUUCCUUGAUUUGGGGAAAAAAAAAAUGAGAUCUAUGUGGUGUUUGUUGAUGAUUGAUGUGUGUUGUGAAAGUAUAUGCUUUGAGAUGUGAAAGUCGAUUGAGUUUAGUUUACAAAAAAAAUUGGGAAAUUGUGAGUCGAUGAUUUAUAUGAUGAUUGAUGAUUAUUGAGUUAAUAUAUAUGAAUAUCUUGAUGAUUAGCCAUGAGAUAUAGAUUUUUCUAUUAGGUUAGUUUACCUAAAAUUGGGAUGUUGAGAUCCUAUGAAUCAAUUGAUGUAUUGAUGAUGGAUUUGAGUUUAUGAGAUGAUCUAGAUGAUUAAUGAUGGAUGAGAUUGAAGCUUGAGGUUGAGAAAUGAAAAAUGAAAAGUGUUAGUUUGAGGAAGAAGAUGACAUACAUAUGUAUCUAUAUGUGAUCUUGUUUUAUGAUGUUGAUUUGUGCUAAUUGGUAACCUAGGAUGUUAGAUCUAUGAUUUGAUCAAUAGGUUAUACAUGAUUAGUGAUAUUUUCAAAAGAGUUUAGUUUAAUAAAAAUUAGGACUUUUUGCCUAUGUGUUAUUAAAGUGAUUUUGGCUUAAGAUAUAUGUAUUUGAGCAUGAUAUUAGUGUAUAAUUAUAUUUGAGUAAGUCUUUUGUUGGCUAAGAAAAUUUUUGACUUAGUUUAGUUUGUAUGAGUUUUUGAGUUUUCAUAUUUUGAGAAGUCGAUGAUUGAUAAAAUGAGGUCUAAUUGCUUUAUGACCAUUAUGUGAAAGUUUGUCAUGUUUU
rnacentral:lncRNA from 1 species